UACGGAGGGGUGCAAGCGUUAUCCGGAUUCACUGGGUUUAAAGGGUGCGUAGGCGGACUGAUAAGUCAGUGGUGAAAUCUCUUUGCUUAACAAAGAAACUGCCAUUGAUACUGUCGGUCUAGAGUAUAGAUGACGUUGGCGGAAUAUGACAUGUAGUGGUGAAAUACUUAGAUAUGUCAUAGAACACCGAUUGCGAAGGCAGCUAACGAAACUAUAACUGACGCUGAGGCACGAAAGUGCGGGGAUCAAACAGG
rnacentral:rRNA from 1 species